UGCAUAUCAAAAGCGGAGGAAAAGAAACCAACAGGGAUUGCCUUAGUUACGGCGAGUGAAGCGGCAACAGCUCAAAUUUGAAAUCUGGCUCUUUCAGAGUCCGAGUUGUAAUUUGCAGAGGGCGCUUUGGCUUUGGCAGCGGUCCAAGUUCCUUGGAACAGGACGUCACAGAGGGUGAGAAUCCCGUACGUGGUCGCUAGCUAUUGCCGUGUAAAGCCCCUUCGACGAGUCGAGUUGUUUGGGAAUGCAGCUCUAAAUGGGAGGUAAAUUUCUUCUAAAGCUAAAUAUUGGCCAGAGACCGAUAGCGCACAAGUAGAGUGAUCGAAAGAUGAAAAGCACUUUGGAAAGAGAGUCAAACAGCACGUGAAAUUGUUGAAAGGGAAGCGCUUGCAGCCAGACUUGCUUGCAGUUGCUCAUCCGGGCUUUUGCCCGGUGCACUCUUCUGCAGGCAGGCCAGCAUCAGUUUGGGCGGUGGGAUAAAGGUCUCUGACACGUUCCUUCCUUCGGGUUGGCCAUAUAGGGGAGACGUCAUACCACCAGCCUGGACUGAGGUCCGCGCAUCUGCUAGGAUGCUGGCGUAAUGGCUGUAAGCGGCCCGUCUUGAACCACGGACCA
rnacentral:rRNA from 1 species